UACAGAGGUCUCAAGCGUUGUUCGAAUUCAUUGGGUUUAAAGGGUGCGUAGGCGGCCUUGUAAGUCAGGGGUGAAAGACGGUAGCUUAACUAUCGCAGUGCCUUUGAUACUGCAGGGCUUGAAUGUACUUGAGGUAGGCGGAAUGUGACAAGUAGCGGUGAAAUGCAUAGAUAUGUCACAGAACACCAAUUGCGAAGGCAGCUUACUAAAGUAUGAUUGACGCUGAGGCACGAAAGCGUGGGGAGCAAACAGG
rnacentral:rRNA from 1 species